rnacentral:rRNA from 1 species
ACAACGACUCUCGGCAACGGAUAUCUCGGCUCUCGCAUCGAUGAAGAACGCAGCGAAAUGCGAUACGUGGUGUGAAUUGCAGAAUCCCGUGAAUCAUCGAGUUUUUGAACGCAAGUUGCGCCCGAGGCCUCUAGGUUGAGGGCACGCCUGCCUGGGCGUCACG